rnacentral:rRNA from 1 species
AUUCCAGCUCCAGCAGCGUAUAUUUAUAUUGCUGCGUUUAAAAAGCUCGUAGUUGAAGCGUCAGACGCGGGAGGGCGGACGGCCGCACUGGUCGCUCUCGCCCGACCGAGCCAGGCGCAGAGGGCGCGCGUCGCUUGCACUUUACCGUGUGAGCGCGCCGCCGCUGCACGUUCACCUUGAAGAAAUUGAACCGCUUAGAGGGGGCGAGCAGCUUGCACAGCUCAGCAUGGUAUGAUGGAACAUGGGCUCGUGCUCAUUUUGUUGGUUAGAGAGUCGGCGAGCCAAUGAUUAACAGGGACUGCCGGGGGCAUUCGUACUCGGACGGGAGAGGUGAAAUUCAAGGAUCGUCCGAAGACGCCCUACUGCGAAAGCAUUUGCCAAGAAUGUUUUCAUCA